rnacentral:lncRNA from 1 species
UAAAUACACAGGAGAUCAUGGAGAAAACAGAAAACACAGGUAUAAAUACACAGGGGAUAAUGGAGAAAACACAGGUAUAAAUACACAGGAGAUCAUGGAGAAAACAGAAAACACAGGUAUAAAUACACAGGGGAUAAUGGAUAGUGGAGAAAAGUGGGAGACACCAGGAGGGGGAGGUGGAGACAAGCACAAGACAGGUGAAACAGAUCAGCGAGUGACAAAAUACAGAGGUGAACUAUCAAUUCCCCGGAUUCCUACCGCAAACUCUGAACCCUUUUCAUCUGGAUCAUGGCAGCUACCUAACCGCAACCCG